GCACUGCUGAGGAGUCCCACAAUACGACGAGACGGCCGUCCAGUGC
rfam:Schistosoma rodhaini strain Burundi genome assembly, scaffold: SROB_scaffold0014076